rnacentral:tRNA from 1 species
GCGGCUGUGCUGGAACUGGUAGACAGGCCAGCUUGAGGUGCUGGUGUUGAUUUCGACGUGUGGGUUCAAGUCCCGUCAGCCGCACCA